GUACAAGUGCCAGAGUAGUUAUGGGUUGGCUUUAAGCGUCAAAUAUAGACAGUUAUGUCUCUUGUGUU
rnacentral:tRNA from 1 species